CUACGGGGUGCAGCAGUGAGGAAUAUUGGUCAAUGGGCGAAAGCCUGAACCAGCCAUGCCGCGUGAAGGAUGACGGCCCUAUGGGUUGUAAACUUCUUUUGUAAGGGAAGAAACCACUCUACGUGCAGAGUUCUGACGGUACCUUACGAAUAAGCAUCGGCUAACUCCGUGCCAGCAGCCGCGGUAAUACGGAGGAUGCAAGCGUUAUCCGGAUUUAUUGGGUUUAAAGGGUGCGUAGGCGGAAAAUUAAGUCAGUGAUGAAAUCCUGCAGCUUAACUGUAGAACUGUUAUUGAUACUGGUUUUCUUGAAUGUAGUUGAGGUAGGCGGAAUGAGUAAUGUAGCGGUGAAAUGCUUAGAUAUUACUCAGAACACCGAUUGCGAAGGCAGCUUACUAAGCUACGAUUGACGCUGAGGCACGAAAGCGUGGGGAGCGAACAGGAUUAGAUACCCGCGUAGUC
rnacentral:rRNA from 1 species